UGCCAAUGAGGAAAGCAGACAUCCUGUCUUACCCCUGUUCUAGCCCCAGAGCCAGUAAUGGUGAACCCACUGGGGCUAACUGGGAGAAAGGAUGAAAUUUCAUUCCAUAAGGAAUUAUCUGAGGUAC
ensembl:snoRNA SNORD22 Small nucleolar RNA SNORD22